rnacentral:misc_RNA from 1 species
AGCGGUGAGGUCGGAGUUCAGUCUUCCCAGGCCCACCACGCUUCGCCGUCGGCUUCGCAUGGCACCGCCAGGCAGAACGACGAGGCGAAGCGCGUCCGGCAUAGCCCGAAGGGCGACGCCGGACAGAAAGAGCGCUUCGUCUUCUGGUUACGGGGCCAUAGCUCAGCUGGGAGAGCGCGUGCUUUGCAAGCAUGAGGUCGUCGGUUCGAUCCCGUCUGGCUCCACCAGAUGGUUUGAUCACCGAGAUCUUGACCGUCGUCCGCGAAACAUCACUUCGCAUCCUGCUAGUCUGGAUAGACAGCAAGUUGCGUGUUUUCUGACAUCGUAAAGAGGAGAUCGAUCCGAGUUGGAUCGUGCAACAUAUCGUUGCGCGAGCCUUCAUUAUCUCCGGAUCAUUUCGGCGCUCGCUUCCAGCCGUGAGGUUGGAUGCGGGUUGUAAAUGAUCCUUUUAGCGAAGCUUGACCGCCUCGCUAUCGGAACGAUCUUACGAAGCAAGCUGGUCUUUCUAGUCAAUGUCCGGCUGUACGUAGCAUUCAUCGAGGGUGCGCGCCCGAGAUUUCGGUCUCUUGGCAAUCGUACAGACAACAUUCUGCCGAGUGUGUGGACAUUGAUAAUGAGAGCAAUCAAGUGCCUUAAGGGUGUUCGGUGGAUGCCUUGGCGCUGAGAGGCGAUGAAGGACGUGCUACGCUGCGAUAAGCCGUGGGGAGCUGCGAAGAAGCUUUGAUCCGCGGAUUUCCGAUGGGAAAAACCCGGA